rnacentral:rRNA from 1 species
GACGAACGCUGGCGGCGUGCCUAAUACAUGCAAGUUGAGCGCUGAAGGUUGGUACUUGUACCAACUGGAUGAGCAGCGAACGGGUGAGUAACGCGUGGGGAAUCUGCCUUUGAGCGGGGGACAACAUUUGGAAACGAAUGCUAAUACCGCAUAAAAACUUUAAACACAAGUUUUAAGUUUGAAAGAUGCAAUUGCUUCACUCAAAGAUGAUCCCGCGUUGUAUUAGCUAGUUGGUGAGGUAAAGGCUCACCAAGGCGAUGAUACAUAGCCGACCUGAGAGGGUGAUCGGCCACAUUGGGACUGAGACACGGCCCAAACUCCUACGGGAGGCAGCAGUAGGGAAUCUUCGGCAAUGGACGAAAGUCUGAACGAGCAACGCCGCGUGAGUGAAGAAGGUUUUCGGAUCGUAAAACUCUGUUGGUAGUGAAGAACGUUGGUGAGAGUGGAAAGCUCAUCAAGUGACGGUAACUACCCAGAAAGGGACGGCUAACUACGUG